CCUGGUGGCUCAGAUAGUAAAGCGUCUGCCCGCAAUGCAGGAGACCAGGGUUCAAUCCCUGGGUCAGGA
rnacentral:tRNA from 1 species